CCAGCAGAACGACAAGCUCCCACAAGAAAACGUUUUCCAACCAAAAAAACAAAAUCCAACGAAGAUUAUUGGAAAUUUAAUAACGUACAUUUUGGGAUUCUAAAGGAAUACGGUGCAAUAUUCUCCGAGAAUAUUAUACGGAGUUUUUCCUACUAUAGGGUCAGACAGACAGACGGGUAGACCUCCUCACUAGGUGUUGCCCGAGAUCAGCUUUAUCGGUAAGCUCCCCUUCUUUCGGAGUUACCGGGGCUAGCAGUGUGGUGUGUAUCUUGUGUAUAUAUGUAGAUAGGUUAUGGGUAGGUCGGGGCCCUGUUCCGAUCAUAGUACAUUUAUUAUUAGAGGCUUGUAGAUAUGUCCUGUCAGUUAACACAGUAUGUUGGACUGGUAGGUCCUGUACGUAUAUUUUGUUGGCUUGUCAGGUCUAGUAAAUAUGACGGCCUUGCCGGCCCAGCCUUAUGUUGA